AAUCAAGGACUUUGAGCACCUCAACAACAACUGUUCAAGCUCCCUCAAAGGGAGGCAGGCUGGCCUCCAAAUUAUUACCCCGAGAUACUGUCUGGUAGUUUGUCUGAGGAGAUUGAGCCAGACUGUGGUUUGCCAGAUGCUUCCUGAAGGAAGAGAGGCUCAUAGCAUAUUUGGGACUGUUUGUUUUUCCUUUGCUUUGUGGUUUUCCUUCUGUGGAGCCCUGGAAGGGACAUGCUCCAGUGGAACCCAGCCAGAGCCUGAGUUUCCAUUCCUGGACAUGUACUGCUCACUGCCUGGACCUGGACAACAAAAGGUUGGAAACCCUUAGCCCAAGAGCAGCUGCCUCAUGCUGGAAGCUGUCGAGAGAAUCUUUGAGAUCGAUUGCAAACUGACCCAGGAGGGUGACAUCAUCUGAAUAAUCCAGAUCAAGUUGAGACCUACAUUGAGAGCAGAUUAUCCCACAACUGUCAUUGCAAGAUUUUACACCUUCCUCUGAAGCGUUGGGUACUGGCCACUGUCAGAGUCAGCGUAUUGGUCUAGAUGGACAUUAGAUCUGAGUCUGGCAAUUCCAUGUUCCUAAUUAACAGUUAAUGUAGAAUAGGCUUUUUGGAAUUGGACUACCCUUUGAAUGCAUAAGAAUAUUGUGACACUCUGUAACCCAUGUUUACCACUUUUAUACGGUUAUGUUAUAUUUUUUACAAAGUAUACCAUGUGAGGUAGCAUUUGAAAACUCAUAAUCUGCUGAAUGUUAUUAUCCUGUUGAAAUGUGUGUAACAACAGUGCAUGUAGAAUCAUAAGAAUUUGCUAUAUGACUGUUACUGAAACAUGCUGUAGUUGGGUAAUGCCCACAAAAUCCAUUUUUCAGAGACAAAGACACACUGGCAACUGGUAUCAACAAAGUCAAGUGAGCUAUCACUUACUUACACAACCAUUCUUCAGCAACAGGGAAGUGUAAACAAGAAGUUUACAUUUCUUCCCUGCUACGGUAUGACUCUCAUAUACACAGGGGACUGUUUGUCUACACCCCGGUGAGGGGGUAAUCCUCAGAGAGAGGAGUAGAGUAUAAAAAUAAAGGACAGUGACCUCAACAGGUCCCAUCUCUUUUGCUUCCAUCUCUCCAUUUAUGAUAAUGACUCUCAAAGAACUGAACAAACAAGGGAGUAGUAAUCCCAGGCUUUAAAGGGAUGCAGCCUGUGAAAUGUAUUGCAGCUCAUGGUGAGACACACCUUUUGCUUUUAAGACUAUUUAGUCUGGUAAAGUUAGGAAUUAGC